UAUGGUCAUUAUCACGUGGGACUUCCCGAUCCGGUCCCAGUCGUUGGUGGUGCAGUGGUGGAGCAGACUCGUGUUGGGAAGCUCCAACUCGCCGUUUUUACGCAUUGUGAUGCAUUUAUGUCUGAAUAUGGAGUUUACUACAGACGAGCCGCCGUGAGGAGGCAGCUUUGGCGGAUAUGGAAUGAUGAUCAUCUUCCUGUCAACAAAGGCUUCACUAUCGCAGUAAAAGGUUCGUGGCUCGUCUGUCCCACUUGAGAUCGACUGCCUCUGGGAGAAUGGACGUGUGGUGAAAAGGUAUUAAUGGUUGCAAUGCAAGUCUGUAUGACAAGACAUGGAGAUGAAGUGAAGAGAUGAAAUCCAUGAAGUGGACUUGCCACCAGCUUGGGACUGAUCCAGACAUCUGACAGCACAAGAUAAUAAAUGCAGUAGAUUUGUUUUUAUGCAAAGUAAAAACCAUGUUUGCUCUAAAACAUACAGACAAUAAAAUUAAGAAAUGUAUAAAAUUCAAGUAUUGGGCACAUGAAAAGUAACAUGGAUUCUGCUUGGAGCACCCGGCAUGUGUUGGUCAUUCUGUGUUGAAAGAUGAUCUGUAAGAUUUCUUCUUCAAAUUGUCCAAGAAGAUCUGUUCUUCUUGCAGGUAUUCACGGUCCUGCAGGAAAAUAAAUGUAUUAGGAACAGAAACGUGGGCAUAUACUGAUGAACCUGUCAUUGUAACUGAACUUUAAAGCUGUUAAAUGUGAAGGGCCUGCGACAUGUUGGCCCAUUUGAAUUUCAUGUUGACAUUAAACGCUUCUCUACAGUAAAA